GCUUUUUAAUAAUCUCGCCUUUUCCAACUGUGUAUAGAAUAAUAAAUUUGGACUAAUUCCAUAGCGCAUCACAAAGCACAUAUUUACAUAAUGAUCGUAAACAGAAAAGGCAGUCUUGUCCAGUUGUCCUGCCUUUGGAAGGUGACAUUUUUAAUUCAUCAGAAGGGGAAUUCUCUGUCUGCAACAGUGGACUUCUAUGGAUCAAGAGGGUAAUGACAGGUACAGAUAUAUAGCGCAAUCCUACAAUAUCGUAGGGUGUGGUUUCAUAAGUUAAUGUUCGUUGCCACCCAAUUAACAUUUCAGAUAACUCGCAUACCUAUAGUUACCACUGUUUUAGUGUGAGCAUAGAAUGGAACAAAGGUAACCAAUUAACAUUUUCAGAAACUCGCAUGCCUAGUUACCACCGUUCUGAUAUUUAAGCAUAAAAUGGAACGAAGGUAACCAAGCAUAUCAAUUAUGCAUGUGAGUGAAUUGGGUAGGGUAACUCACUCACAUGCCUAGUUACCACUGUUCUGAUAAUGUAAGCAUAGAAUGGAACAAAUGUAACCAAGCAUUUAAAUUAUGUAUGUGAGUGAAUUGGGUGGGAUAACUAGUUACCACUGUUCUGAUAAUGUAAGCAUAGAAUGGAACAAAGGUAACCAAGCAUUUAAAUUAUAUACAGCUAUUUCAAUUAAGGUUGUCCACGAGCAAAGCGGAAAAGUCGAA